UUGAGAGCGAAUGCACGAGAUGAUUGCGCUGUUAUUUCAGUAUGACAUCCCGUGCAGACCAGAACGUCCUACGAAUGUGCUGCCUAUGGUGGACCUGGUGGAUGGAAUGAUGCUGUUGAACAUCAAUUGCUUUCUUCAGAGCUCACACAAUUUCUGUCAAUUGUGCAGCACUCGUCGUUCGCAGCUCAGGGUCAGCAUUGGUGGUGCCUCAUGA
rnacentral:lncRNA from 1 species